ACGAACUCAUUUUUCUCACCUCUGUGCCGCACACACAGAGUGACACCCUGCCCAAGGCACGGCAGAACUACUUUCUUAUCAAAGGGGGCCACAAAAUAAUGAAACAAGAGCUUGAACGUCACAAGCACACAACGAGCACGCGAAGCACGUAGCAGACGUCCAGCUAAACAGCAGCCCGGGUGCUUAUUCAGCUGGUCACGUUGUCCACCGUUGCCUCUGAUAGCAGUCUUUGACCUGAAUACUUCUGCCUGUGCUACCGCUGAGCCUUGUUGCAAUUCAGAGGGGGACUGCGUGUCGUUCUGCGCGGCGAUGGAAGGCGCUCAGCUCGUGCUGCGAGGGAAAGGUACUCUCUCGGCUGAGGUCGAGUUAAGAUUAGGUCAAGUGAAUCUUUUAUGACAAACGGUGUUCCUGUUCCUACUGAAAUCAAUGACAAAGCUUCACUGAGUUCACCGGCAGCAUAAGCUGUUCCUGUUAGACGGUAAAAAUACAAACCCUGAGUGUGCCUUUGUGGACUUCAGUGUGCAUCUGGAUUAACCCUACCCAAGUCUAACUAGAGUUAGACUAUUGCAUUCCCUCGAGGUGGGUUUGACUCUUUCUGAGCAAAGUACGGUGGUUCACAACGAAGAGACAAAAGUAUUUUUGCUUACAGAACCAGGUUCAAAGACAUGAGUUAACGAAACAAAACUUAAGAGUUAAUGAAACAAAACUUAGUAAGUCUACUGAUAAGCAGAACAUUCAGCCUGUGUCAUCAGCAUUGCCAGAUAGAUUUCAGUGGAAAUAUACUGCUUUUUCACAAGUAGUGCUCUAGCAGACUACGCAAUUUUCUCAGGUUAAGGGGAAGCUUAGACACAAGGAAGACUAAAAACUUUAUGGUCUCAGAGAUAAAUACAGCUCCUUGCUCCACACCCUUCUCCCCAUUCCAAUUUCCCCCAGCAUUUGUAUAAUGGCAUUUUUCAGAAAUCUUUUCACAGGAUUCCCCAAAGGCUCGUUAAAAAGCCUUAGUCUGAAGGAAGGUCCUUCUGUGGAUUAGUAACUGAAGGAUGAAAAGCAAAGGUGGGAGCUACUGAUCAUUUUUCACAAUUAAAGGAAGUUGCAAGAGGAAGGCAGGGGAAGGAGACCGUGCCAGGUCCUGCGUUGUCCAACACAUUCACAAAUGGGCUGGAAGAGAUGGUGGAUAGCCAAGGUGGCUGAUGAUACACAGUUGUUUCCAAUAGUCAAAAACAAAAGCUGCCUGAGAAAGUAGCACAGGGAUCUCACAUUAUCAGCUGGCUGGGUAGUAAAAUGGCAGAGAAAAUACAAUGCUGAUAAAAACAAAACAGUGCAUAUGGGAAAAACAUAGCCCUGUUAAACGCAAACAGUUCCGAAUGAGCAGUUGUCACUCAAGAAAGAGAUCUUUGAGUCACUGUGAAUGCUAACAUGAAAACGCCAGCUUAACAUUCAGCCCAGGGACUGGGUGUGCCCUCGGCUCAAAAACCUGACCUGAUGGUUGCCAGAAGCUGGGAGAUAUAAAAGGGGAAGGAACCCUCUGUACUCACCCUGUUUCUCAUAGGUGUCCACUACUUGCCCCUGUUGAGAGAAGAUGCAGAGCUAUAUGGAUCUUUGCUAUGACCUAGAAUAGCUGCUCUUAUAUCCUUAUGUAAAAUGAACUGUUCGAGAGAGUAGAUCUAACCUGGAGUCACAAAGGAAAGUGAAACUGUAGAGAAGUAUACAAUCUGCGAACCAAUGUCUAAAGUCGUGCAUGUCAUCAAGUCCCAGACAAAGGACCAAUGGAUCAGAACAAACAAAAAAAGCCUCAGAAGAGACCACAGGGAGAUCUUGAAUUAACCCUUGACAGGUUAGAAGCUUGCUGAGUGUUGCUGCUGCUUUAGCACAGGGAGUGAGCAGGACUCCAAAAUAGCACAAUAAAACAUGUCAGAAACACUUGAAGAGCUCAGAGACAGAUGUGAGCAAUUUGUCCUGCAACUGCAAGGUGACCAGUAGGUGCAGAAAGAGACUGACAGCAACUUAGUGAACGGAGUGUAUACAAGGAAGACGGUAUCAGCAGUUCCAGUGGUUCUUCCCUUGGAACAAGACACUGGUUGAAAAAAAGAUCAAUGAGCCAUCAACCUGAAAGCAAAUGGGACCCGUCCCAGCCCAGUGAUUCUUCUGCGACAUAACUUUACUGAUGACUGUGCCUGUUGUGCUGGACAAGGCAUAUGGGAUAUUAGAAUGUCUGAAAAUGUCUUUAGUUUAAUGACCCUGAAUUUACACCGUGUGCAGUGGCGUUGAGGUUUACAUAUCAACAUCAGGUGUUAAUCUGCACUUAAGUGGGCCACAGCAGCAGAAUACUUUGUCAGCAGUUGGUACUUUGCUCAGCAGAUGCAGUGCUCAGCAGAAGGUGAUGUUAGAAGAACAACGGGGAUUUAUGGGGAGACAGAUACAGAGGCAAACAGUAGAAUCUGAAGUCCUGGCAUUCUUGCUGCUUCCUAAGCUUGGCAUGAUUCACACCCCCAAAGGUACUAAACAGUUGCUGAGAGUAGCUGCAAUCAUACUGACCCAGGGUGUCUCAGGUGGCUGUAUUCUUAGGGAGAAAACACAUUUUUUAUCAUAACUUGCAGAAGGUGGGCAGGCAAGGGGCACUGAGUCUGCUGCUUAACCUGAGAACAUCCUAGUGGUUUACUCCUGUACACCCAAAGAGGCACAUGUCUUGGCUGUAAGCGUGCUCUGUGCUCUGCUUCCCACUCAUCUCCAUUCUCAGCUGCCCCACAGACUGCUCACGGACAGCCCGCUGAGGUGGCCUGGACAUGCAGAAUCCCAGAUGCACCGGAGACAUACUGCCAGGCUUUCUAGUGCCCCACAGCAAUCCCAGUAUCUGCACCUCAUUUGCAAUCCAUCGUGAGUUUUAAGGUGGGUUCAUUUUUUUUUUUUAAAGCCUGAAGUACAUACAAACAAAAGUAGCUGCUGGCAGGUUUAGAGACACAGAAGCACAGUAAUUUGGUACGCAGUUGCCAUGGCAGCUAACCUACAUUUAAAUUAUCUGUACGCUUUUCUCAGCCAUUCUCUAGCGUUCCUCCUAUCUGAAUUGUCAGUUCCUUUUUUUUUUUUUUUUUUUUUUUUCUUUGAGACCUGCCUUCUGCAAAGCCCUCCUUUGUGCCACUUUGGCCUCGUCUGCUGGCUCAGCCCUUUCAUCCUGGCAUACUCCAUAUUCUGUUGAUAUUAUCCGUUAAUGGAAGGGGAAGCGAGAGGAGCACGAGGCAGAAGGAGAUGAUGGUCUUCCAGCUACUCUGCCUGCUGAGAGCAGCUUCUUGAAAGCUGAUUUUUGUUGAAGUAAACCACAGUGGUAACUCCCCUCAGUUUCGGGACUUAAAGCUUGCUGCAACAUCACUGAUUUUGAAGAAGUUACUGCAGAUUCACAGCGACAUAAUAAAAGCCAAAUUUGGCCUUAAGACAAUGAAUUUACCCAAUGAUGAAUGAAUUCUGCUCUGUGGGUACAUGGCAGUAAAUCAGGGUGCUAUCUCUUCUAUCCAGAAAACAGGCUUUGAAAUGCUUUAGCAAUGUUUAUUACCGAGUAGAAAUACUAAAAGAAAGGGCAAUGAGUUCUCCAAGCUCUUUCCCUUUCCAUUGACCUCCCUCUCAGCACAGUUAGAAAACAAGCCCAGUCCUGUUUAUGAAUUAAACCUUGAAAGAUUUUGUUAUUUAUUUCUGGUGAAACAGUUCCUUUCUGUCAAAUCGCUGUUUCAGAGGAAAUACAUUCCACUGGCUAUUUCUGACCAGCCAUCCUUUUUAUCUCCCUUCUUGCCACCUCUGAGAACUAAGCUGUGACGCCACUUCAGGGGAACCCAGCCCAGGUCUUAUCAGUUCCUGGCAGAUCAUGGAGAGCCGACAUACCUUCUGCCUAUGGCUGAGUGCGAGCUCUGCGUUUACAGAAAGUGAGAUCAGAAGAUAAGAUGCAGAGAGUAUUUACUUACUUAUUUUUAAUAUAGUAAGCUCAACAUGCUGUCAAAGCAGAAGUUUUGUCUAAUUUUUUAAAGAAGGUUCAGUUUCGGUAUCACUUUGGGUGCUUGAUAGUUUUCAAGUGAUUGCCUAGAAUAAGAUCGCUGCUGCUGAAGACUUGGAAUUGCCAGAUAACAUUUGCAUGCAAAGUCAAGGAGUGGGGAUUACUCAAUUUAUCAUCCUCAUAUCACAAAAAAAGGAGAAAAAUCCCUGGAUUUGUAGGAUUACAGGCCAUGCUAAAGUGAUCUCUCCUUUCAGGGAUACUGAAAGCUGUGACAUUCAGCAAGAGUUUUUUGCUCUUACUUUCUGAGUUCAUUUAUUCAGUCCAGUCAUCUCAGGAUAGCUCGCUUUUUAAAGUGGACUUUCAAAAUGGUAAAAACAGUGCAGAUACUAAACACAAGGAAUAAGAUCUGGAGAGGUGACAGUGAAUAAACACUUUAUGAUGAUUUAGGCUUGCCGAAGACCUGCCCCCAUAAAUGUGGUAGCUUAUUAGACGACAGCUGAACUGAAAUGAUCGGUUUUUGGAGUAACUGGCAAGAGAGACAGGUCUGGCAACAGUAUCAGGAUUCCCCCUCUAGACCUGUGGGGAGGAAAAGGAGAUACAAGAGAGAAGUGGAUUUCCUCCCGCUGCUUUUUAAUCUUGAUGGAGAAACUGAGUUAUGGGGUAGUGAAUUGACCAUCCCAGACCUCCAGCAUAUUGACUGCAAGGCCUUCCAGUUACCAUGGACCUCUUAGCAUGCCACAGAUCCCUGCAGUUAUCAGGGAUAUUAUUUAUUGUUUAUCCUUUUGUGUCACAAAAGGAAACUACUUCCCAGAGUUGCUGACAAGGAAUUCUUUCAUUUUGGGGGCAGAAUGUGUUUAGUAGUUAUUAUGGCAAGCUGUGAUUCAUACCUUUUGGACCUCAGUUGUAUUUUGCACAGCAUGAGAAUAAAGUAAAUCACAUUCUGAAGAGCCUUGCCAAUGAAAUAUUAAAGCCAGUAUUGGUGAUAAAGCUCACUGCUGUGCUUUUCA